CAACCCCUUACAUUGGGGACAGCCACCUCCUGAAUGGAGUCUAUCACAGUGGGGACAGGCACAUCCUGAAUGGAGUCUGCUAUCAUCAGUGAAUUAAUGAUUUUGGUUGGGUUUCAGGCUUUGAGCACAAAAUUGUACAGCCGUUUGUUGUUGGGUUUCAAGUUUCCAAGUACUACCUCCAUACAGAAAAGAAUGUAAUUAUGGGAUUCAUGCCAGUUAAAAUAACACAAGUUUAAUCAAAUUUAUAUUAGUAAAUAAUAUGAGUAUUUAUGUCUCUAAAAAAUUUAUUAUAAAAUAUAUUUCAUAAUAAAUCUAACGGUACUGCUUUUAUAUCAUAAAUGAUAUUAUUUUUUAUAUAAAUUUAAGCAAACUUUAAAUUAUUUGACUUUUCGAAAAGAAAAAAUUGCAUUCUUUAAGCAAAUAGUAGUUGGGUGGGCUCCAGUGCGGAUUACGCGUCAGGCGUCACUAUCACCGUUCACCACGGACGGAACCUCUGUGAC
rnacentral:lncRNA from 1 species